rnacentral:rRNA from 1 species
AGCGAACGCUGGCGGCAGGCCUAACACAUGCAAGUCGAGCGCCGUAGCAAUACGGAGCGGCAGACGGGAGAGUAACACGUGGGAACGUACCCUUUGGUUCGGAACAACCCAGGGAAACUUGGGCUAAUACCGGAUAAGCCCUUACGGGGAAAGAUUCAUCGCCGAAGGAUCGGCCCGCGUCUGAUUAGCUAGUUGGUGGGGUAAUGGCCCACCAAGGCGACGAUCAGUAGCUGGGCUGAGAGGAUGAUCAGCCUCACUGGGACUGAGACACGGCCCAGACUCCUACGGGAGGCAGGAGUGGGGAAUAUUGGACAAUGGGGGCAAGCCUGAUCCAGCCAGGCCGCGUAGGUGAUGAAGGCCCUAGGGUUGUAAAGCCCUUUCGGCGGGGAAGAUAAUGACGGUACCCGCAGAAGAAGCCCCGGCUAACUUCGUGCCAGCAGCCGCCGUAAAAC